rnacentral:rRNA from 1 species
UACAUACUGUGCGAACGUUAUUCGGAUUCACUGGGCUUAAAGGGUGCGUAGGCGGCUUGUUAAGUAGGGUGUGAAAGCCCCCAGCUCAACUGGGGAACUGCACUCUAUACUGGCGAGCUGGAGUGAGAUAGGGGUGUGUGGAACUGCCAGUGGAGCGGUGAAAUGUGUUGAUAUUGGCAGGAACGCCGGUGGCGAAAGCGACACACUGGGUCUCAACUGACGCUGAGGCACGAAAGCGUGGGGAGCAAACAGG